rnacentral:lncRNA from 1 species
CCAGUAGGAAAGACAAAAUAUUGUAUCAUUUUUCUGAUUGUAGUUUUUUUCAUUCUGCUUUUUAUUUUCUCAUUUUUCUACAUCAAACAUGGAUUAAUACAAAAAUAAUUCAAUCAUUAUAACACAUUAAAGGUGAUUAGCCUCAGGCACAAAAGAUGAAGGGCAUUCAGGAGGCAUUUGCCAUAAACCAGGAAAGAAAUGAGAAAGGCUUGUGCUGGACUCCAGUGGUUUCCAGUCCUAGCUGUACUUUAGAAAUACCUAGGGAGGUAUUAAAAAGUACUCAUUUCAGGCACAACACAGACUAAUUAAUUUAGAGUCUCUGGGAUGGUACCUUGACACUGGUAUGUUUUAACGUCUGCCCCCUGCCUUGCCCCAAGUGACUCUAAAAUGUGCAGGUGGAGAUAAGUCCACUACUCUAAGGCAGUGGCAGUUGGAAAGGAGAAGAAGAGGAUUUGGACCUGAAUUACGUUCCAGGGGUGGGAUCCCUAAAAAGGAUAUAAAUCUUAGGACAUGAAUUUGGCUUUAGUGGGUUUCCUUCCAUUCUAUAUAGCUCUCAAGGUCAAGUGCAUUGCUGAGGAAUGGACAAUAGCCUCUGCUGAUCCCUCUGAUCUAAGCUGCUGCUGGCACGGCAGCAUUGGAGGCUACAUCCAUUCUCAGCACAUUUGGAGUGCAAUGAUGCUGCAGGAACAAAUCGCCCACCUUCCAAAUGCCCUGUGAGUGAGUCAGUGCUCAGCAGCAUUGGCAAGGCGGAGCGCUGUAACGGCAAAGAAAGGAUGACAUCUCAUAUACAUGUGUGAACAGGACUGUUUACUCAUAGGAUGAUUAUUUUAAAGGAGACGUUUGGUUUUUUAAGGUCCGUAGAAGUUUGUUUCAUCGCUAAUCGCAGCGGGUGUAGGUGUUAGCUAACAUACCGGUAACUGAAUGUUCUUAGCAAUACUGCAAUAGCUUCCCUUAAGGUUUAAAAAUUACAAUUUGAUUUUAAUUGCCACCUCUCUUAAUAGGUGUUACUCAAACAGGAAGGAAAAUGCCACAUACUCUUACCAGUUCUUGAUGCCAGAGAUUACUAAAGCAAUUUGGAAAGAUAUCGAAAAGGUGUUGAGAAAAUACAGUGUUUAGGCACAUGAGAGAAGAUGAGGAACCAGGACAGGAAAUGGCAGCGUUUCCACCAAAGGUCAAGGGGAACAUUAAUGGGCUACAUUCCAGACCCAAGGCUGACGAUCUUCUUCAAAGGAGUCAGUGGUGGAAACACAGACUCAGAGCCACUCCCAAAAGGUACGAUGAGGUCAGGAUCAUUGAAGAGAGGCAGUGCACAGGGGGCGUUCGGGUGAGCAUCUCUAAAGUUACCUUUCUGGUUGGUCUUUGACAUCAAAGUGCGUAAGUCUGCCUUUCAUGGGCAGGUAGAAAUGCUGUGCAGGUGAAAACAGGCCUCUGGCAAGAUAAGAACAGAAAUCUUUGAGCUUCAAAUUACAGAUCUUUAUGUUUCACUGAAACUUGUCUUUACAGGGGUGUCAGUCUCCACUGUGACUGACCACAAAACCCUGCAGGAAAGAGGCUGUGGGUUUUCCUGCGUGGUCCCCAGACCCUAAUAUGCCCAUGUGGCUGCCUAAUACACAUCUCUAUUUAAAAUGUUCAGAAUCUGUGUACUUGGAGGACUAAGCAGGAAAGAAAUAGAUUGAACGGGCCAACCAGGUAUUUUAGGAUUUGGGCUGUCAACUUUAUAGUCUAACAGCAAUGGAAAUGUCUAAGAUGGAAACAAUCAAAACAGUCAAGUUGUCAACAAUUGCCAAUGAAUUCAGCAGCCUAAAUGAAACAAGCAAGGAAUGAGACUUAAGAAUUUAAAAAAGGGAUGAAGGACCCAGUUCUUCCAGCCUAAAGGAUUUUGAAAUCUCCGUUUGCUUAACCAAGGACAUGAAUGCCACAACUCCUGAAUGCAGAACUUAAUCCAGCAGCGUGCCUCCAGUAGAAAAUAAGCUGAAGUUCAAUGUAUUCUCUAUGAAGAAGAGGGAUGUACAGGAAAAUCUGCAGGCCUGGGUGUCAGCCCUGAGUCAGGACUCUGACUCUGUUGCUUCUUAGCUGUGGGACCAUGGUUGCAUGAUCAAGCUGACUUGAGGGUUCUGAACAGAAGCUGACCAGUCUACUGCACAUUGUAAAGAAGUUAAAAAGCUGGAUUGAAUUGCAAAAUGUACUACUCAAGGAGUCCAAAGAAUAAAAUAUGAGCAGCUUGUGGGGGUAAAGCAUUCGUAGGUAUAGUAUAGAAAAGGUCCAUGAGCAUCAUGUCAGUGUCUUUUAACUUUCCAUUGCAGUGGAAUAAUCCUUUAUGCGUUUAUGAAAAUCUUUGGAAAAGAAGCCACGUCACUGGGUGGUUCCUACUUAUUUUCCUCUCCAGGGGCCUUUGCUGCUCUUGCUGGGUGCCUCAGUUGCUAGCUUUGUGAGUAGUAAUGCCCCACUGUUCCCAGCUCCUUGCUUGCUGGGUGUGAGGACAGAGGCUAUCAUAGCAAUAAUUGCUGGAUGUUCUGUGUUUGCACAUCUGUGGUGGCCUUCUGAAUUGAGUUUCGUGCCAGAGCCAGGCAGCGCCUCCCUACCCCACCCUCCCACUGCCCCUUUAUUUUCUGUGUCACACCAUUAAAAGAAAUGAGAUUAUGGCACAAAUCAUCAUUCAUAUGACUCUAGCAUAGAAGGUUAGCGAGAUAUUGCAGAGAUAAUUCCAUAGCCACCAUGGCCCCUGACAAUAAUUACAAUGUGGCCACAGGGGAUUACCUUCUAAUAGGCUUUUGUUCACUCAAUUCAGAGUCUGUUGUGUGCUAGAGUUUGGAUAAUUAAAGUUGUGUCUCAGAAGCCACAUGUGGUAGCUCAUAAUUAUGUAGUCGAGUCUAACAGAAAACUGAGGUGACUGACACCCGGCCAGAGUGAAGAACAGGGGUCCUUGGUGACAACGAAGAAAGAAACCAGUCCCCUCAUUUGGGGACAGGGGAUUGGUGUUCACUCCAUAGCAUCAACUGCUUUAUUUAUUUUAAACAAAAAUGACUAAUUAUAGCCCUUUCUGGUCCAAUCCCUCACUCUCCACGGGGACUUUUCCUAACCCUUUCCUAUUGCUCCAACAAAAGAAUGGUAGCUGGUCUGAGCAAUGAAGAAAAUAUACAUGGCUUAUUUAAACAGCAUAAUGGUUUAAUUAUUUAAUCAUUUGCAUGUUGAGUGAUUUGCAUAAAAGCAGGAAAAGGCCCAUGUUGGAAUUUGGCCUGUAUCUCCCCCUGUUCCUCACUGGAGAAAAGAUUCUGAAACUUGGCCUCGUUGAAGCCCUUGAAUUUUAGAAAAAAAAUGUGAACUUUGAAAAACUUAGAUUUGUUAUUUCAAGGAUGCAAUAUUUGAAAAGAAAACAAAUCCAAAGACUAUAUCCCAUUGGGCCAUAUUUCUCAAGUCAGUCGAUGGCUGUCAAAGAAGCAAAGUAGUUAAUUUUCCCUGUAAAGUAUGCCCUUGAAAAGCCAUUCUCCUAAGUAUAGGCAGAAUGCUUUGCUAAGUGGGUGCCUUUUCAGCAUUCUAAGACUGGGUCCCACAUUUUCUAACGAUUCAUUGUGAAAGAGAUGGCUAUUUUACCAUUCUGCUUAAAAUCUGAAACUUUAGUUCAGCACAUCUCUUAUCUUAAAUCCUUGGAAUGUUUAGAAGAUUCUUGCAACGCACUUCUAAAAGGCUCUGAAUUUCUGAGCCUUAAAAGUAAAAUUCUGCUUUGUUCCAACAUAAGACAUUUUUCCUCCAAGUUUUGCCAGGUAGAGAACAAACCCCUUCAUUUUUUUCAACACUGUUGUCUCUUUUAAAGCACAGCAAAUUUAUUCUUCACCCAAUGUGGAAACAACAAUUGAUAUUCAAAACGCUACCCUUUCCUAAGGCUUUGCCUUCAUGAAAAUGAAACAUAUUUCGUACUGAGCACCAUAUGGUGUUUGUGAAGAGUGG